rnacentral:rRNA from 1 species
AAGUCGAACGCAGUAGCAAUACUGAGUGGCAAACGGGUGAGUAUAAUGUGGGAAUCUGCCUUUUGGUUUGGAAUAACACGGGGAAACUUGUGCUAAUACCGAAUAAGCCCUUACGGGGAAAGUUUUAACGCCGAAAGAUGAGCCCGCACUUGAUUAGCUAGUUGGUAAGGUAAAAGCUUACCAAGGCAACGAUCAAUAGCUGUUCUUAGAGGAAGACCAGCCACAUUGGGACUGAGACACGGCCCAGACUCCUACGGGAGGCAGCAGUGGGGAAUCUUGCACAAUGGGGGAAACCCUGAUGCAGCGAUGCCGCGUGAGUGAAGAAGGCCCUUGGGUUGUAAAACUCUUUCGUCGGGGAAGAAAAUGACUGUACCCGAAUAAGAAGGUCCGGCUAACUUCGUGCCAGCAGCCGCGGUAAUACGAAGGGACCUAGCGUAGUUCGGAAUUACUGGGCUUAAAGAGCUCGUAGGUGGUUAAAAAAGUUGAUGGUGAAAUCCCAAGGCUCAACCUUGGAACUGCCAUCAAAACUUUUUAG